UACAUGGGGUGCAAACGUUGCUCGGAAUUAUUGGGCGUAAAGCGCACGUAGGCGGUUCGUUAAGUCGGAUGUGAAAGCCCUCGGCUCAACUGAGGAAGUGCACCCGAAACUGGCGAGCUUGAGUACGAAAGAGGAUCGCGGAAUUCCUGGUGUAGCGGUGAAAUGCGCAGAUAUCAGGAGGAACACCCGUGGCGAAAGCGGCUCUCUGGGACGGUACUGACGCUGAGACGCGAAAGCGUGGGGAGCAAACAGG
rnacentral:rRNA from 1 species